AAACGAGCAGGCGGGACGCAGGGCGCUAAAUUCCAGGAGGCUCCCCAAACACGCGCAGCCCCUGUGUACUUUUAGGGUACCGGACAAAAAGCUGCAAAGCCUGCAGGCAGGCCUGGCCUCCCUGCUGGGACCUCUUAAGACUCGCUGUCUAGCAGGACACUUCAGUCUUGAACGUCUAAGCGUUAAAUGAGGAAGAUCCACUCUGAAGUGGGGGACACCACCGCAUGGACUGGGUGCCUGAUGUUAGUAAAGGGGGAGCAAGGUGCUCCUUCUCGGGGAUUUAGUGACAGCUGUGAAAAAAGCAGCUAAGAGAGGUUCCUAUGAAAAAUACAUCUGCCUCAGUCUGUUUCCUGCCGCUGUCACAGAACACUACAAACUGGGUCAAUUAUAGAGACCAGAGGUUUGACUGAAGGACUGAAGGUCCAAGGGCUGUUGUCUAGGUGAAGGCCUUCCCGCCCUGUCAUAACGUGAUGAAGGCACUACAUGUACCACCAGAGUAACAAUUACACUUCAGCACAGGGUUACCUCCAUCUCCAUACCUCAGACAGAACCAAGGGUCUCAGACACACCAGGUGUACAUGUAUGCUGUGUAUGGAGAGGCUGGAGAUCAGCCUCAGCUGGCAGUCCUCAGAUACUGCCCAUCUUGUCUCUCACUGGCCUGGAGGUCACCAUCUUGGCUAUGCCGACUGUCUACCUGCCUUCACCUCCCCAGCACUGGGACUACAAACAUGGCCGGUGUCUUCCUGUGGCUCCACAGUAUGCCACCCUCGGGCUCUUCCCUCUCUAUCUGUUGGAUCCCCUCCACUGGCCACCCAUCUUCCCUCUGUCUCCUGGAAUUCUCUUCAUCCCCAAGGCCCAUGUUCUGCUAACACACUAAUCGGGCCUCCCUAUGCUUCAGGACAAGUGCUCUGCUUUCGGGAGGGAUGCAGUAGGGCUACCAGGACCACCCAAGGCUCCUGGCUCUGCCGCUCCUCUGGUGGGUCCUGUGCCAAGUUUUGCAACUGUGGAGAUCUGAUUCGCACCCAAAGUCCUCUGAGCUCAAUGUCCCUACUGUCUGGCGCAGAGGGAGGGUAAAUCCCGAGCCAGCCUGCUCAGCACAACGCUGCCCCACCUCCUAGGCCUGGCAGCUGGCUGACCCUGGAACUCGGCCACAGGAGCAGGUUUGGAGCUGGGAAAGAAAGACAAUGAUACUUCCAAGUUGCCAUUGUUGAGAUGUUUAACUAGAGAGAGCUUUUUGAGUUCACAAGUGUUGGUACGAUCCACCCUCUAGCCCAGGGUUAUAAAAAUACACCAAGCUAGGGGUAUGACUCCAUGGUGGAGUAUUUGCCCAGCAUGCAUGAGGUUGGGCUUGGGUUCAAAUCUCAGCACCAAAGGAAGAAAAAGAAAACCAGCCAGAAAAGCCAAACGGGUAAAAUGUAGUUGAUUUGAAUAAACCCCUCUAUGGGGGUCACUAAGUGGCAGGCAGGCGGCUUGGCGAGCUCCUAUAUACCUUGUGGUUGUGACAAAGAUGACUAUGGGGAGGGAAGGGGGAAAAAAACCCUGCUUUCAGCUCUGUUCCUGGCCUUACUAAGAAGAAAGCAUUUCCCAAGCCCCUGGAGGCAGGUGAAGCUGAAGUUUGAGGAGGCAGCAGGAACUCUUUCCUGCACAACACAUGAGGCCUCUCCUCCAUCAGCAUCCUCUGCAAAUGGACCACUUCAUCAGAUGUUACUAAGUUACAGGGAGCCGCUGCCACAAAGGACUCUUCACAUCCUGCCGGCGACAGGGGGAGCCAACUACAGUCACGGUUUCCAAAUCUGAAUUAUCUCUUGUUUCAAAUUUCCUUACCUCAUGAUAAGGGUCCCGGGAUAUUUUUUUCUCUAGCAAGCUUCAAAGUGAAACCAAAGACAUUCUCCUUGUCUCGAAGAGCCAAAAAUGAUCAUCACCGGAGCGAAAUGAUGAGGUCUCCAAGGCCACUCGGGACAAAGCAGAUAAACUGUGCCAAAAAAGCAAUUCCUAAGAACUUCAAAGCCUGAAAGCAGAUAAAAAGAAUUUUGGAAUAAAACAAAUGAAGGCACUUUGGAGUAUAUACUUCUCUGAUUUAAAAAUGUAUUAAAUUAGUAUUUG